rnacentral:rRNA from 1 species
UACGUAGGGGGCGAGCGUUGUCCGGAAUCAUUGGGCGUAAAGCGCGUGUAGGCGGCUCGGUAAGUCCGGUGUGAAACCUUGGGGCUCAACCCCAAGCCUGCACUGGAUACUGUCGAGCUCGAGUCCGGGAGGGGAGAGCGGAAUUCCUAGUGUAGCGGUGAAAUGCGCAGAUAUUAGGAAGAACACCGGUGGCGAAGGCGGCUCUCUGGAACGGUACUGACGCUGAGACGCGAAAGCGUGGG